rnacentral:rRNA from 1 species
ACGGGGCGCAGCAGGCGCGAAAACUUCGCAAUGGGGGCAACCCCGACGAGGGGAUUCCAAGUGCCAGCACUUUGUGUUGGCUGUUUUCCUGUCUAAAAAACAGGAGGAGUAAGGGGCGGGUAAGACGGGUGCCAGCCGCCGCGGUAAUACCCGCGCCCCUAGUGGUGGUCGAUAUUAUUGAGCCUAAAACGUCCGUAGCCGGUCUUUUAAAUCCUUGGGUAAAUCGGGCAGCUUAACUGUCCGAAUUCCGAGGAGACUGGAAGACUUGGGACCGGGAGAGGUCAGAGGUACUUCUAGGGUAGGGGUAAAAUCCUGUAAUCCUGGAAGGACCACCGGUGGCGAAGGCGCCUGACUAGAACGGAUCCGACGGUGAGGGACGAAGCCCUGGGGCGCAAACGGGAUUAGAUACCCCGGUAGUCCAGGGUGUAAACGCUGCGGGCUUGGUGUUGGGGGUCCUUCGUGGGCGCUCAGUGCCGGAGAGAAGUUGUUAAGCCUGCUGCUUGGGGAGUAUGUCCGCAAGGAUGAAACUUAAAGGAAUUGGCGGGGGAGCAC